rnacentral:rRNA from 1 species
GGGUGUGAUCAUGCCAACGUUAAUGCACCGGAUCCCAUCAGAACUCCGUAGUUAAGUGCGCUUGGGCUAGAGUAGUACUGGGAUGGGUGACCUCCUGGGAAGUCCUAGCGUUGUACCCU